ACACACUUCUUUAUGUACCCAUAUGAAUUACGCUGCUAUGGAAUGUAAGGAAGUGUGUGG
rnacentral:pre_miRNA from 1 species